UCUGCCCCUUUUGAAAUUGCAAGUUCCACCAAAUCCCUCACUUUUGCUGUGUUCACCGUUCGUCCGUCCCCGUUCACCAUCGUGUUCCACCUCUCCAAAAACGCGUACCAGAUUCUUUACAUUCUGUUCGUCCGUCCAACUCUCUCCCUGACAUUGCCCUCUCCGAUUAUCUGCCUGCCGCCGUCUUCGACUCUCUCCCUGUCGCCCUAUUUUUAUCUCUCUCGUCUUCCUCUCAAUCUACAUUUUGGUUUUAAUCGUAGCUUGUGGUUUGUCACAUUACAACCUAAAGAGUUCUUCUUUCUCGUCUGUUCAAGGAAUUCAACUUGCUCUUCUUAGUUAUCAACUGGUGUGUUGUAUUAUCUUUUAGAGUUGAACUAUUUACAACUCUCUCAAUGCAGUUGCAAGGUGGUAAAUUUGAUCACACUGAUCAUUGGAUGUUUUUGGAUAUUUCUGGUGCUUGGAAUCAAGUUCUAGAAGAUAUGAGUGAUUUGAAGGAAUUAGUACAACAACGUGCCACACAAGAUCAAAUUGCCUACUUUGGUCAAACUCCAUCUCAACUUCUGACUGUGCCUCAUUUGAGGAAGAAGCCCUUAGCUGAUGUUUUUCAUCUGUAGGUAAUGUCAUGUUUGUACUUAUGAUAAUGUACAUGCAUGUGUAUAUGGGAAUUUCAUGUUUGUAAUUUGACAAUAGGGAAGCGACGAAGGUUCCUCUCUUCUUUCUUUGCUUGAGGGUAUAUUCUUAUGGAGGGGGAGAAGGUAAUUGUGGAGAAGGUAGAGAGAAGUGAUAUUCCCAACAGAAGAGUUUCUUUUAGCAGUCUUACAUUAGUUUCUUAAUUCUUCUCAUUUUCUUGCUGUGUAAUUGCAACAAGAUUUGGUUGUAUCUUGGCCUACUUAAAUUCCUUGAUGUUCAAGAAGAUAGGGUUUCAGUUUCUUGACCUGAUUACGAAUAUUUUGCAGGUAUCUAGUGCCUGCUGACCUGACUAUUGGUCAAUUUGUUUAUGUUAUCCAUAAAAGAAUAAAAUUAAGUGUAGAAAAGGCAAUUUUCAUAUUCUUGGACAAUGUGCUUGU